UACAGAGACUGCAAGCGUUAUUCGGAUUCACUGGGCGUAAAGGGUGCGCAGGCGGCCGUGUGUGUGAGGCGUGAAAGCCCGGGGCUUAACCCCGGAAUUGCACCUCAAACUACACGGCUAGAGCAUUGGAGAGGGUAGCAGAAUUCACGGUGUAGCAGUGAAAUGCGUAGAUAUCGUGAGGAAUACCAGAGGCGAAGGCGGCUACCUGGACAAUUGCUGACGCUCAGGCACGAAAGCGUGGGGGGCAAAAGGG
rnacentral:rRNA from 1 species